CCGAUACCAUUCCAACUAUUCCCGCUAAAAAUAAUUAAGUCAAGCAGCGGCACCGCCCAUUUGAGAUGGCCAUGAAUGGUUGGAUCUGCCUCGAGAGCCUGCCGGCAUAUCUCCCUUUGGUGCACGCCCCAUGACAGAUGACCACUUCAUGAACCCAUGCAUUUUAAUCCGCAGGCGGCAGUCCGGGCUCUUUUGGCCUGGCCAAAAAACAAUGCCCAUGCGGCCCAAAAGGGCUGGGAUUCUGCAUCCGGCCAGGCUUCAGGGAUCUUUGAGGAUGGGUGAGCCGGUGGCCCGAAGUCCAGUCCGGGUGGAUAAUGAUGGAAGUGCACUCGGCCUGGCUCGCGAAUCCUUUUUGUCUGUCCUUUUAUGUCCCAGUCAAAUUACCUCAAUAGCUGGGGAAAAGGGAAAGAGUGUGGUAAGGAAAAUCCUUUUUUCUCGGCCCUUCUUUAAGGCUAUGGAAAGUAAAAUGUAUAAUGGGUUUGCUUCUGCAAAGGGGGAAUUAUUUAAGCGGGCUUUAUAAAAAUCGAUCUGCGUAAUGCAAGGAAAUAAUGGACAUAUAAUCAAGGGAUAAUCAAGGAUUACUAAUACAACAAAAUUGGAUAGCUUUAUUAUAUGUUUAGUUGGUGCAUUUAUAAGUAGCUAAUUUUGAUAGCGUCAUAAAACUAAAAGAUGUCACAGAAUAUAUUCUAAAGCCCUAGUAUACUAAGCACAUAUACCACAUACCGAAAACUUAUCAGCUAAAAUGCUAUAACCCAAAUCCAACAGUUACCAAGUUUUUGGUCAUGGCAAAUAUUUCAAUAUAAAUAUAUGAUAAAAUAUUACGCAUACGCGUUCAAGUGCAAUUUAUGAGCGGAACCACUAUCUCUUUCGCUCGAAAAUCCAUAAGCUUAAGCAGGCUGUAGGCUAAA